rnacentral:rRNA from 1 species
GAUCAACGCUGGCGGCGUGCUUAACACAUGCAAGUCGAACGAAGUUUUUCUUUCGGGAGGAACUUAGUGGCGGACGGGUGCGUAACGCGUGGGUAACCUGCCCUGUACAGGGGGACAACAGCUGGAAACGGCUGCUAAUACCGCAUAAGCCCUUAGCACUGCAUGGUGCAUAGGGAAAAGGAGCAAUCCGGUACAGGAUGGACCCGCGUCUGAUUAGCCAGUUGGCAGGGUAACGGCCUACCAAAGCGAUGAUCAGUAGCCGAUCUGAGAGGAUGUACGGCCACAUUGGGACUGAGACACGGCCCAGACUCCUACGGGAGGCAGCAGUGGGGAAUCUUGCGCAAUGGGCGAAAGCCUGACGCAGCCAUGCCGCGUGAAUGAUGAAGGUCUUAGGAUUGUAAAAUUCUUUCACCGGGGACGAUAAUGACGGUACCCGGAGAAGAAGCCCCGGCUAACUUCGUG